CUAAAAUUUACACAUAAUAGCUAAGUUGAAAAUUUUGCAUUUUUCUCAGGAACUACUUGACAAGGAGUUCUGAAAUUUGGUUUCAGGGUUUAUAUAAGUCAGUUAUUCCGUGUGAUGCGUUUUCAGAUUCAUCACUCGACAACUUCCUGUUUACCGAAAUAUUUCGGAGGGGGUAUCAUCAGUGAGCAGUAGCUCACAGUUUUACUUGUUCAUACUACUUUUCCCCUCAAAAUGAAAUUGGUUUAAUGUGUCCUUAUUUACAUAAAAAAACAACUUUUUAAAGAAAAAAAUGUAACAUCGCUAAAUUGUACCGAUAUAGAUCCUUAAUAAGAUAAAUUUGGAUAAGCAUCGCCGUG
rnacentral:lncRNA from 1 species